CAGGGGCGGGGUUGCUAACCAUGGCAGUCGAACGAGGGGCAGAUUGAAACCUAGUGAUAUCUGCCCGAGUGGCGGACGGGUGAGUAACGCGUGGACAACCUGCCGCAUGCAGGGGGAUACCGGCUGGAAACAGCCGCUAAUACCGCAUAUGCGCACGGCGCCGCAUGGCGCAGUGCGGAAAGGGAGCAAUCCCGGCAUGCGAUGGGUCCGCGUCCGAUUAGCUUGUUGGCGGGGCAGCGGCCCACCAAGGCGACGAUCGGUAGCCGGCCUGAGAGGGCGGACGGCCACAUUGGGACUGAGACACGGCCUAGACUCCUACGGGAGGCAGCAGUGGGGGAUAUUGCACAAUGGGGGGAACCCUGAUGCAGCGACGCCGCGUGGGUGAAGGAGUGCUUCGGCAUGUAAAGCCCUAUCGGCAGGGAAGAGGCAAGACGGUACCUGACUAAGAAGCCCCGGCUAACUACGUGCCAGCAGCCGCGGUAAUACGUAGGGGGCGAGCGUUAUCCGGAUUCACUGGGUGUAAAGGGAGCGUAGACGGCCAUGCAAGCCAGGGGUGAAAGCCCGGGGCCCAACCCCGGGACUGCCCUUGGAACUGCAUGGCUGGAGUGCGGGAGGGGCAGGCGGAAUUCCUGGUGUAGCGGUGAAAUGCGUAGAUAUCAGGAGGAACACCGGCGGCGAAGGCGGCCUGCUGGACCGCGACUGACGUUGAGGCUCGAAAGCGUGGGGAGCGAACAGGAUUAGAUACCCUGGUAGUCCACGCCGUANACGAUGACUACUAGGUGUCGGGGGACGACAGUGCCCCGGUGCCGGCGCAAACGCAAUAAGUAGUCCACCUGGGGAGUACGUCCGC
rnacentral:rRNA from 1 species